UGCGUGCAGAAAUAUCUGUGUUUCUUUAGUUAUGUUCAAUUCACACGUUUUAGUAUCAAGAAUAAAUAUUAACGAUCCGCUCGAUAAACAAAUGCAUAAACAAAUAUAGAUAAUCUAUAUAAUUAAUAAAUAUAAGUUAAUACAAAUAAUUGUUACGAAAAAAAAACAGCAGGGUGUAUUAAUAUCUACGAUCAUUCUAUUAAAACAAAUUAGAGGUUAGUCGGUAUACGUAUGUAUGUAAAUUCACGUUAGAUUUCAUCAUAUAAACUCAUAACCUCUUCUAUGCUGUAUAUUUGAUAUCUUAAGAGUACGAAAAGGGUAUAAUAAAAUAGUGAAGAAGGAACAAAUAAAAGAAUGCGGUGUGUUAUGACAAUUAAGAAUAAAUUAUUACCGGUAUUUCGUCAUAAUGCGACGAUUUGUCGAUCGUUUUACAGAAAUCAUCAUUUAGAAAUUCGCAAUGUAUUACCGGUUUAUAUUAAACCACAAUUUCCUCGAAUAGAACUUCCUAAUCAAAGCCUUGGAAUAUUGAGUCGAAAUAUUCGAAAUCGUAGAGAAUGCACAGCUAUUUUAUCUGUCAGAUUAUUUUCAUCUAAGAAACCAGAUAAACUUCCUCCAAAUGAAAAUGAUGCAGAGCAAUCGGAAGACUAUUCAGCCACUUUACCUGCUACGGUGGUUGUACCAGAAGUAUGGCCUCAUGUACCGGUUAUUGCCAUCAGUAGAAACCCUGUUUUUCCUAGAUUUAUUAAGCUUAUAGAACUUUCUAAUCCUAUUCUUAUUGAUUUAAUACGUAGAAAGGUUAAAUUAAAUCAGCCUUAUGUUGGAAUAUUUUUGAAGAAGAACGAAGAAAACGAAUCAGAGAUAGUAGAAAAUCUUAAUGAUAUUUAUUCUGUUGGUACAUUUGCCCAAAUUCAUGAAGUACAAGAUUUAGGAAAUCGUUUAAGACUUGUAAUAAUGGCGCAUAGAAGAAUUAAGAUUGUUGGGCAAAUAUUGGAAGAUGUUGCUGCGGUACAACCAGUGCAUGACGAUACAAUGACUGCUGGUAAAGUGAGCCGUAGAUCUGCACAACGCAAUAAAAAGUCAGAGAAGACAUCUGGAUCGACAGAAAAUACAGAUAAUUCUACUGUAGUAGAAAAUAUGAAAGAUAAACUACCAUUGGAACAAAAACAAGCAGAGCUCUCUCCUGAAUCGACAUCAGAUUCUCAGCCGAUUUUAAUGGUAGAAGUUGUGAAUGUAACGCAUGAAAAAUUUAAACAGACCGAAGAAAUUAAGGCACUUACUCAAGAAUUAAUUAAAACUAUUAGAGAUAUUAUAAGUAUGAAUCCUCUGUAUCGAGAAUCUCUGCAACAAAUGCUUCAUCAAGGACAAAGGGUGGUCGACAAUCCAGUUUAUCUCAGUGAUCUUGGUGCUGCUUUAACAGGAGCAGAUGCACAAGAACUGCAACAAGUGCUAGAGGAAAUGGAUAUUCUUAAAAGAUUGAGAUUAUCGCUUGCACUUUUAAAAAAAGAAUAUGAAUUAAGUAAACUACAACAAAAGAUUGGUAGAGAAGUUGAGGAAAAAGUAAAACAACAACAUAGAAAAUAUAUAUUGCAUGAGCAGUUAAAAGUUAUUAAAAAAGAACUAGGUUUAGAAAAGGACGAUAAAGAUGCCAUAGAAGAAAAAUAUAGGGAAAAAAUAAGACAAAAAACAGUUCCCAAACCGGUUAUGGAUGUGUUAGAAGAAGAAUUAAAUAAAUUAAGUUUCUUAGAAAGUCAUAGUAGUGAAUUUAAUGUUACAAGAAAUUAUUUAGAUUGGCUAACUUCGAUGCCUUGGGGUAUAACUAGUCCAGAAAAUUUAAAUUUGCAACAAGCUGUAGAAAUUUUAGACGAAGAUCAUUAUGGAAUGGAAGAUAUCAAAAAAAGAAUACUUGAAUUUAUUGCUGUCAGCCAACUGAAAGGUUCAACUCAGGGUAAAAUAUUAUGUUUUCAUGGUCCACCUGGAGUAGGAAAAACAUCUAUAGCUAAAUCGAUAGCUCGAGCACUUAACAGAGAGUAUUUCAGAUUUAGUGUUGGAGGAAUGACAGAUGUAGCAGAAAUUAAAGGACAUAGACGAACAUAUGUAGGGGCCAUGCCCGGCAAAGUAAUUCAGUGCUUGAAAAAGACUCAAACUGAAAAUCCAUUAGUGUUGAUAGACGAAGUAGAUAAAAUUGGAAAAGGACAUCAAGGAGAUCCUGCUUCUGCCCUUUUAGAAAUGUUGGAUCCGGAACAAAAUGCAAACUUCUUAGAUCAUUAUUUGGACGUUGCAGUCGACUUAUCGAAAGUUUUGUUUAUAUGUACGGCGAAUGUGGUUGAUACUAUUCCAGAACCUCUUAGAGAUCGAAUGGAAAUGAUCGAAAUGUCCGGUUAUGUAGCAGAAGAAAAACUUGCAAUAGCUAAACAAUAUUUAAUACCACAGGCUAUGAACGAUUCCGGACUUAAUGAUACACAUAUUAAUAUGCAAGACAAUUCGCUUACAUCUUUGAUUAAAUAUUAUUGCAGAGAAUCAGGAGUUAGAAAUCUUCAGAAACAUAUAGAAAAAAUUCACCGCAAAGUGGCUUUUAAAGUUGUUAAAAAAGAAAUAGACAAAGUUGAUAUUACCGCAACAAAUUUACACGAAUUUGUAGGAAAACCAGUAUUUACUCAAGAUAGAAUGUAUGAAAUUACACCACCAGGUGUAGUCAUGGGUCUUGCAUGGACUGCCAUGGGAGGUUCCACAUUAUUUAUAGAAACUGCUGUUCGAAAACCUGUAAAUUUAAAUAAGAUGGAGGGUACAUGCGAAUCAACUGGUCAUUUAGGAGACGUAAUGAAAGAAUCAAUACAUAUAGCAAUGACAGUAGCUAGGAACUUUUUAAAACAAGAAGAUCCAUCGAACACAUUUUUAUAUGAUUCUCAUAUACAUUUACAUGUUCCCGAAGGAGCUACUCCUAAAGAUGGACCAAGCGCGGGCGUUACUAUUGCAACAGCAUUAAUUUCUUUAGCUAAAAAUCAAGCUAUUAGACAAGAUGUUGCUAUGACAGGAGAACUUAGUUUAAUAGGAAAAGUUCUACCUGUUGGUGGUAUUAAGGAAAAGACAAUAGCGGCCAAAAGAGUAGGCGUUAAUUGCAUAAUAUUACCAGAGGAAAAUAAGAAAGAUUUCAAUGGUCUCCCAAAAUACAUAACAGAUGGUCUUGAGGUUCAUUUUGCUUCAACAUUUGAAGAUGUUUAUCGUAUAUGUUUUUUAGGGCAGAAGACUCCAACUAUUGAUAAUGAUGAAACCUUUUCCAAUCUUAAUGUGUCACCCAAACAACCAGCAUCUUUACAUGGUAAAGGGAAUUGCUUAUGAAUAUCAUAGAUUUUUAUAAUCAAUAUUCAUUUAACGAAUGAAAGAUUCUACACAAAGAUCAAUAUAAUAAUUAACAAUAUUAAAGCCGAUGUAUAUUUGUUAAGAAAAUAGUUAAAAAUGAUAAUAUGCAAUCUAUUAAAGUGAAGAUAUCAUUCGCUUACAAAAUUUGCUAAAUCGUUUAAACACAUUUUAUAUUAAAUGAUAAAGUAUAGAAGACACAAAUAGAGAUAUGGCCAAAUGUACUUUAUUUUUUUAUUGCAUUUUUAUUACAAAUAAAUAUAAAAUAUUAAAUUUAAUUUUGUUUCAUAGCACACACAUCAGUUACGCGUAUCAUUAGUUUAUAUAAAUUUAUUAUAAUUGAGAGAAAUAAAAUAACAUUGCUAUUUAAA
rnacentral:misc_RNA from 1 species